CGAGCGAAGCGGGAAGAGCUCAAAUUUAUAAUCUGGCACCUUCGGUGUCCGAGUUGUAAUCUCUAGAAGUGUUUUCCGCGUUGGACCGCGCAUAAGUCUGUUGGAAUACAGCGGCACAGUGGUGAGACCCCCGUAUGUGGUGCGGACGCCCAGCGCUUUGUGAUACACUUUCGAAGAGUCGAGUUGUUUGGGAAUGCAGCUCAAAUUGGGUGGUAAAUUCCAUCUAAAGCUAAAUAUUGGCGAGAGACCGAUAGCGAACAAGUACCGUGAGGGAAAGAUGAAAAGCACUUUGGAAAGAGAGUUAACAGUACGUGAAAUUGUUGGAAGGGAAACGCUUGAAGUCAGACUUGCUUGCCGGGCAACCGGUUUGCAGGCCAGCAUCAGUUUUCCGGGGUGGAUAAUGGUAGAGAGAAGGUAGCAGUUUCGGCUGUGUUAUAGCUCUCUACUGGAUACACCUUGGGGGACUGAGGAACGCAGUGUGCCUUACGGCGGAGGUUUCGACCUCUUCACACUUAGG
rnacentral:rRNA from 1 species